rnacentral:tRNA from 1 species
GGGCGGGUAGCUCAGUUGGUUAGAGCAUCGCGUUGACAUCGCGAAGGUCGUAGGUUCGAGCCCUAUUCCGCCCA